rnacentral:lncRNA from 1 species
UUCAUAAUAAUAUUUAUUUUGAUACUUUCUGAAUAUAUCAAAUAAAUAGAGUGUGCAGCAAUAACGAUAAUUAUAAUUCAUCACUACUGUCAUGACAAGUCAUAAUGGUUUUGGGCAUUAGCCAUUAUUUGUGCACAACUUGUAAGAUUGGAACCACAAUAAAUAGAGUCAAAUAACAUCAUGAUUGCUCCUGGCCAAAAAUGGUUUUAUCUCCCCAAUGAUGCAAUUGGCCCCAUGGGAUUGUUUGGUACUGUAUGUGUUCAUAAUUCAUGAAUUCAUGCAGCCUUCAAAAUUACCCCUGAACAGGUUGAGACUGCUAUCCGUUUUUGAGGCAAACCUGCCAUAUUCUGAAAUUGAAUCAGCUUCUGGACAUCUUAUGACAAAAGACGGAUCCAACUGCCAGUAUAUCCACUUGAUCUGAUUUUAUC